CUUGCCUUGCCUUGCCUUGCCUUGGCAACCCAGAAAGAAAUUCCACCACUCAACGUGAAACCAAUACCCAUAUCUCUCUUUUCUUUCUUGCUUAUUGAUCUGAACUUGAUUCAGCUCUUGCUUUGCUUGCUUGCUCAGCUUAUCGGCCACCGCCCAACCCAAGAGCCCUGUCAGAAGAACAACCGAUUAGAACCCCCACUACCCAAAAAAGGGAGAGGAGUUCAUUAAAAGCUCUCCGGUGAUAGGGAAAGCGACACAGUAUUAGAGACCUGGCGGUUGGGGGCAUUUCCACUGUUAUUUUUUUGGGUCUUAAAUGCCUGCCUUUGCUCAUUAAAGCUCGUGCCAUUCUUUGCAAAGAGUUGCUGAUAAGUGUUAGGCUGUUAGCUUAAUCUCGUCGCAAAAUAUGGAAAUUAAAAUCAUAAAAAGAUUUCAUUUUUUUCUUUAGAAUAUACAGAGAGAGAGAGAGAGAGAG
rnacentral:misc_RNA from 1 species